AAUUGGUUUUAAUUAAAAGAUUAAAUUUAUAGCAAAUGUAUUUAUAAGGGACAUUUUGUCGGCUAGUUUUGUCCAGGCUGGGGUAUUUAAGCUGACGGAAACUGAACACCUGUACUUGGGAACUGACCUGGAAAGGUGAAUUAAAUAGAUUUGCUACAAGCAUGCAAUUGUUGAUUAAAGUUUAUUAAAAUGUUUAAUGAACAUUAAUAAAAGUUGUUUAACUAUUCAAAGUAAGUAUUAUUUUUGGGCAAAUGUAAACAAACACUUAGUAAAAAUAUGUAGUCCUAUUUUUCUAAGAUAAAUAACCUUAGGUAAUACACUCAAUGGGUGGAAAAUGGGGUAUAUGAUACUUUUUUUUUGCUUUUUCACGUUUCUUCCUAUAAGUUUACACCAUGAUAUCUAUACUUGGCCUUGAGGCACCUUUGCUUGUGUCUUUCUACAGGUGGUGUCUGUAUAAGUCAAUACUAAGGUGAAUGAAGAGAGUGCUUAUAGUAAGUGAGAGUGGGACGUAUCUCAACACAUCCCAUGCUCUCUCUUAUUAGUUUGGAGUAAAUUUUCAUGCUUGGCCUUAAGGCACAUUUGCUUGUGUCCCUUUAUGGAUGACUUUGCAUGCCUCUUUGCUCAAACUCCAAAAAUGGAUAGGAUUGCUUUAAUUUUCGCCCUAAUCGGUUUUUCCGUACAGUUGGCUCAUUGGGGCGGAACUCUAGAAUCUAAAAUGAGGUGUUACACUUACAAGAAAAUGUUAAGCAAGUUAACAGUUUCUGGACCAAACAAUGGUGACUGAUAUUUACAGUAACAAAGAGUUGUUCUGUAUAUUGGUUGAGAUGGUCUCAUUUCAGUGAAAGGGUACCUGAUCACCAUACGGUGGCUUUUACCCUGCCUCACUGAAACAUCAUUGCAAAAUAGAUGUCACAUAGGAUACAUUAAAUUAUUUUGCUAAAUUUGAUUGGUUUUUUCAAAAGGGUAAUGCUUGAAUACUAAUAUAAAUAAAUUGUAUGUUUAAGCAAACUUCAUAAUGACUUCCGCAACGCUAAAUUUACUCGUCGCUGGCAACUUACCGGCAAGAAUUACACUACAUGAAAAACACAAUCCAAACAAUAUUGAUCAUUGAUGACUUGAGAUUUGUCCUAAUGAAGAAUUGUCCUUUUGUUCCUCCUCAAAAUGCUCCUCGCAACGCUUGAGAGGCAUAUGAGUGUUGGAUACAGACAAAUGAGAAGGCCCGAGCAUAUAUCUUGGCAAGGCUUUCUGAAGUCUUGGCCAAGAAGCAUGAUUCCUUCACCGCCCGAGAGAUCAUGGAGUUUCUGCAGGUGAUGUUUAAACAACCGUUCGCACAACUCAGUCAUGACGUUCUGAAAAACAUCUUCAAUGCCCGUAUACAAGAGGGGGCAUCUGUUAGAGAACAUGUUUUCAACAUGGUGGUCUACUUCAACAUGGCGGAGAUGAAUAAGUCUAUCAUCGAUGAAGCCAGUCAGGAUUGAGUACAACCUGACCACCUUGCUCAACGAACUACAGACUUUCCAAUCCUUGAUAAAAACCAAGGAACAAAAGCGUGAGGUAAAUCUUGCCUCAUCCUCUAAGAAGUUCUACAAAGGUUCGACCUCUAGAACUAAGUCUGUAUCUUUCUUUUGGCACGAAAAAGUUGAAGAAGAAGAAAGGUAGAAAGAGGAAAGCUAACCUACCAGUUGCUGCCUAGAGGGGCAAAAGGACCAAGGCUGCAAAGGGAAUCUGUUUCCAUUGUAGCCAGCAAGGACUAGAAGAGGAAUUGUCCUAAAUACUUGGCAGAAAAGAAGAAGAUCAAGUAAGAGAAUUAGUUCUUGGUGGCAACUGGAGGCUGAGGAGAUGAUGAUGUGUGUUGGAACUGGGCACUUCGUUUUAGCUAUGACAUUGGGAGGACUCUAGCUUACUUUACAGAAAAAUUGUAUUUUGUUGGAUAAUGUAUAUGUAGUUCCUGAUUUAAAGAGGAACUUAAUUUCUGGAAAGUGUUUCAUUGAACAAAAGUAUUAUGUACAUUUUUCUAUGAAUAAAGCGUUUAUUUCUAAGAGUGGUA